CCCGGGGAAGCGGUCGAGAGGCGGCCGGGUGGCAGCUGAGGGAGCAGGGAUAAGGCCCGGGGAAGCGGUGGGAGAGGCGGCCGGGGAGCGGCGGCGGGCGGCCCCAGGUGGCCCCAGGUGUUCCUGCGCUAGGCCGGGGGCCGCGGCCGCUCCCGUGCUGGCUCGCGGGCCGCCCUCAGCGCUGCCCUGCGGCCGUGCCCUGCGGCCGUGCCCUGUGGCCGUGCCCUGUGGCCGUGCUCUGUGGCCGUGCCCGGCAGCUCGGGGCGCAGGUGACCCCCAGCGCCCCGUGGGUGGGACAGAGCCCUGAUCGCCGAGCGGGUCCCUGCCUCCCUCAGAGAGCUCUGCCGCACCUGUUCCUGCUUCCACAGCACUCGUCAUUGCUUCUUCCUUACCCUCAAUGCGCUCCCAGCUGGGAGAGGCUCGUGCCUGCUUUUGAUAUUGUAUUUGUCCUUUACGUAGUUGCAGUGUGGGGGUAAUUGUAAUCAUUUUGCCCUUGAAACAGCCUAAUGAGUCUUGUUUCUUGCUCCCAUUUUCAGAAGAAUUCUUACUAGUGGUCCCUAAGUGUGUGAGAUUUAUAUUAUUAUUGAUUCUUGUCCCACUGCAACUAUCAACUUCUUUAUCACACCAUAGAAGCAAAGAAUGGUUUGGGUUGGAAGGGACCUUAAAGACCAUCUGGUUCCAAAUCCCCUGCCUUUGGGACACUUUCACUGAUCUCAUGAGUAGUCCUGUAAAAGCUUAUGGAGAUCAAAAACUUUGAUAUUUUAUCAGUGGCUGUAUUUUUUUUCUAGUGGAGGAAACAAAACACCUCUUAUGAGGAAAGGUGGAGGGAGUUCAGCAUGUUGAAACCAGAGAAUUACAAGACUGAGAGGGGAUUUUAUCAAUGCCCACAAAUAUCUGAAAAACAGGUAUCAAGAGAAUGGGAACAAGUGGUGCCCAGUGACAGGACAAGGGGCAACAGGCACAAACUAAUACACAAGGAGUUCCAUCUGAAUAGAAGGAAAAUUUUCUUAGAGGGCAGAAGAGAACUGGAACAGGCUGCCCAGAGAGGUUGUGGAGUCUCCUUCUCUGGAGAUGCUCAAAAGCUGUCUGGAUGAGAUCCUGUGCAACCUGCUCUGUGUGACCCUGCUUUAGGACUUGAUGUUCUCCAGAGAUCCCUGCCCACCCCAGCCCUUCCAGCAGGACACAGUGAGGAGAGAGGGGUAAAAAAAAAAAGGCUAGGAAGAGCAGUAACUUCCAGUCUUUUUAGUGUCACUGGUCCAGAUAGUCUUUGGAAACCCAGAAUGUGGCAGCAGCUUAGGCAGAGCUGGCUCACGUGCUGGGCCAGAGCAGUUCUUCCAGCUUGAGCACAGCUGUAUCCUUGGUCUACUGCCUUUGUUACUGUGGAGCAUUUGCCAUGGGGAAAUUGGAAAACCUGUUGCCUGAACCAUUUAAAAUAGACAAAAAAAAAAAAGAAAGACAAAAAGGGUAUAAAUCACAAGCUUUUGCUGGCCUUUAGAAUUCUCUAGGAAUGAUAUGACAUUAUGGAUUUUAUGAUAAUCACAGUGCAUUCCUUAGUGAGAAAAUUUAAAACAAAUCAGUCAUUUGUGUUAUGUUGAAGCUAAGUAUUAGGUAAAACUUCCACAGAACUUUUCUUCCCCAGUAAACACAUGACUUCUUGUGUGAACUGAUAAAAUGGCAUUUACAGUUUAAAAACAUGAACAUGACCCAAAAUUAUCUUGCACAGGAUGUGACUUCACAUCACAUACAACAGAUAACUACAGUGUACAUUUUUUUUAGUUAUUACAUAACCUGUGGGUAUAAUGAGGAAAUCUGUGGACCACUCCCAGCUUAUCUCCACUUUUGUCUGUGCUCAUGAUGUGAUUUGCAGAAGAAACUUAUUCAUACACAGGUUAUUGUUACAUGUGCAUUUGUUGCCAUUUUUAUUGUGGGUCACUGGGGUUUCACUCAUUGAAGCUGAAGCUUUUGUGGAGUGGUAAUGGACUGAUGUGGACUGAUAGCAGAGUUAAUACUUUAUACUGGAUAAAUCUAUAUUGCAGGUUCAGAUACAAGAUUGCUCCUUCUCUUUGGAACUUGCUCCUGCUGCCUUCUUUCUCACCAGCAGAGGUCCAGCUAACAUACCAAUUUCAAACUGGAACAAGGGCAGAUAUGGAGGUUUCCCUAAGGACAGUGACUGGAUUUGGAAAACAAUAACAAAGGUUUCUACAAUUUUUACAACAGCCAAUGUCAAUAACAGAAUCAUUACAAGCGUGAUACUAGUUUUGAUUUUUCAGAGUAUUUUUAUUACUGUUUCAAUUGUACAAUUUCCACAUUAGAGAACAAUAUACAGUGUACAGUACAUAACUUGCAUGGUUCCCAGGUUUUGAAGUCAUGUGCCAAGCUUCAGGCUGAAAAAGAGAGUUCACCAUGCCUAAAAUGAAAGCAGGCACAUACACACAGCUCUACAUUGCUGCAGCAUUAGCACAAUCUCGUGUGGCAAAUAUAACAUUAUGAGCACCACCUGUCACUUGGAGACUGCAUGUACCAAAGGGUUAAUGACAUGGAUCCUUGACAUUCUGCCCCUGUAGCAUUCUUUCAUGUCAAAGUGACAUCACUAGAAAAACACAUUAAGCAAUUUAGUCCUUGGUUUUAAAAGUUAGUGAAACAGUACAGCUAGUGAAACACCUCACAAAAUGAAAUUACAAAUUUGAUCUACAUUUUGCAUAGUUAAAAUUAUGUCUGGAUAACCUUGGUUAUUGGAUUUUUGUCUUCUGGCCUUUGUACUUUUGCUUUGAGCUGAACAGUUAUUCAAAAUACUCCCUCAUUCAGUGCCCCCCAGUCACUUCAGAUACCUUUCCAUUUCUUUGGCUGCUUUCUUUUCCUUAACAUUUUUUAACCUUUUGUAUUCCUCCUACAGCAAUAUGCUGUGCCAGACAUCCACUCCCUUACCUUUGGCUACUCAUGUUUCUUUUCUUCAGCUUUUCCCUCCUCUUCAGUCACUUCCCCUUUCUUGUUACUCUUCUCAACAUCUCUGGGCUCUUUCUCAUCUCCAACCAUUCUGACUAUCUCUUGAUAGAGGGACAAUGCCACAGGUUUCUCCUUGUUGCAUCCAGCUGCUGUUGCUAUUUGCAAUCUCACUUCUAAAUCCUUCAAAAGCAUUCACCUCUAAGUGCCUCAUGCUUUCCAUAAUUACACAUGGAAAGUUUUUAAUGUUUUUUUUAUAGUGAAUAGAAGAUGAAAAUCCAACUCACUGCCUUGAAUUGCAGCUAGAAAGAAGAAAGCUAAUAGAGGGAAACAGAAUGAAUUACAAUCCCAAUGUAAUAGUGCAUAUUCCCUCUCUUGAACUUGGGGUUAUUUGGGUAUUUUCCCUUUUAGCAUGGAGUUAAACUUCUUCACAGUGUGUCAAUGUAUUGUCAUUGUUGUAAUUUUCUGCUACAGUAAACUUAAGUUUGAUCACAUUUGCUUCUUUAAUCUGUUCAUAUGAGUUUUUAUAAAGUCCCACUAAAUUCUUUUUAAAAAGUCCCUAGCAUCAGGAAAAUAUCAGCCUCCUACCUGUUGGCACCAGAGCAGGGAAAAAUCCCAUGGAUCCUCUGUAAUACAGAUGCUGCUGAGAUAAGCACACUUUCAAAAUAUUGCAGGGCAGUAAUGGAUCUCUGGAUCUCUGAUUACUUACAGCAUGAGCAGCUUUGUCAGUUUUGCACAGCUACUGUGUGCAAAAUGAAAGCUGCUCUUCCUUCACAGUCUCUUAGACUUUUAAAUCAAAAGCAAGUAAGUUGCUUAAAAAUUGAUUGUCUGCAACUUACUUUUUGCCAGUAAUUGUAACUUUGAUCUCUGGUUCUGUUAUAGAUUUGGACUUGUUUGGUUUUGUUGUGGCUUUUUUUUUUUCUGUUUGUUCUGUGAGUCCAAUUCAAUGAGCCCAAGUGUUCAGCAGCACAGGGAGCCAAGCCAGGCUUUACUCAUUUGCCCCAGCCCUGGCAACAGGAGGAACAUUACUACAACCAGACAGAGGUCCUGUUGUCACACAGCUCUGCUCAAGCAGUUUCCAUUCAGGUUUCAAUUGUGCACACAAGCUAAUCACUCACAUACAUUUAGAACCACUUUGAGUAGUUUACUGUAUUUUUUUAGUAUGGCUUUAGGCUUGUUUUUCUGUUAGUUAAACAUUUAAAAGGAAAAUUCUUCAUUAAAAAGCACUAUACAUUUUGAGAUAAGCUAUUGCCUGUGAAAAGUGCUAGGUUAGUAACUUUGGAAAGUGCAGUCCUCCACAGAGCCAAAAACAUAACAGCAACAGUGCAGGCACCUCUGACCCGCCUGCAGCAGUGAGGUGCCAGCACAGGGAGCAAGGGGAAGGGUGGUUAGCCCCCAGAUUGAUUCCCUGGUGACACACACAGGGACAGCAGUUCUGAGCACCUGUCAGUCACAGCAUCACUGCCAGCACCAGGCUGACGUACUGGACAGCACAGCUGCCACUUCCAACAGCUCUACUCUGCCUCAGCCAACACAGAAUCAUCAUCCUUGAGGUAGAUGAACACAUAUUCCAACACACUUUUCCUGCACCUUUCAGUAUCAAAUAUUUCAAGUAAAAAACCCUAUCUUCAAGCACUGGAACUAGUGAUUUCACUUUUGCCCACAGCAUUAUCCCUACUGUAUCAUGUCUGGAAUGAGCUCUGUUGUAUUAUAUUUGAAGCUCUACAUUUUCAAAGCACAUCCAAAAAUCAGCUACAUGAGGAUUACAUUAAACCCUACAACUGAAUCAUAGUAUAUGAUAUAUAUAGUAUAUAUAUAUAUAUGUAUGUAUAUAUUAUAUCUCUAUAUUUUUAUGGCCAACUUAUAAGCCCCUGAGAACAGAGUUUAUGCAGAAACACUGGCACCAAUAACACUAGAAGAUGCAGCUUUAUUUAGAUGUAAUUAGCAUAGAAAGCACCUGGAAUUAUUUAUCUUUUCUAUUUAUAAUAGAUUAACUCUUUGGGUAUUUUCAUAACUACAUUAAGAAUACAUUUGUUAAUUUUAAUAUCGAUUGUGGAAAGGUUAUAUUUACAUAAAAAUACACAAAGACUUGAUGUGAAAGAGCAAGAAGGAAGAAAGUGCCUGCUCUUGUGCCCUUCUUUAUAUACAUGGGUAGUGCCUUUAAAUCAAUUCAUAUGAGAGUGGGUCCCAGCUGUGAAUGAAAGUUACAGGUUCUGUUUCAUAAUGCUUUAUGCAUCUAUGAUUUUGACAGACUAUUUAAACUGUUUUACACAUACCUCCUACAGUAACUGUGUCUAUGGGCUCAGGCAUCCAGCCCUGAGAGAAACAGAAGUCUGUCCCCCUCUGCAUUUGUAAAAAUCUCCCAGCUGGGGCACAUGUUCAGAAUUAAUUAUUUUUACAACUCUGUACUGAAACACACCUAUCCACCCAGCACAGGGGAUGACCCCUCAAGGUCCAAGGAGGAUCCCUCAAACCUUCUGGUCUGCUGGGACCCACCACAAACUCUUACUCCUUCCCUGUUGUAAGGCUUGGACAAGUCAUUCAAGUUCACCUUGGUGACACAGUAACAGCUUCCUUAAACUCCAAAAGGAGCCCAACCCCAAUUCAAAAUAGAUUCCAACUGUGAUUUUGUAUCUACCUACAGCUGUCACUGUCCAUAAAAAGUAACUUCAGUUCAAGAUACCAACAUUACAUCACCUGUGAAAGUGAAACUGUCCAUUUUUCAGAGUAAAGGAGCUUCUUAUAUUGGCUACAUUCUUCACUAAAGUCUCCUAAUACAAUCUUUGUUUGCAACAUACUUUGAAAGACAAACUAAACAUGUUUGCAAUACUUCAACAGGAAAAUGGAAUUCUUUCCAGACUGAAAGAAUAUGAAUUUUAAUAAGUCAAUAAUGACAACAUUUUUGUAGGUAAGAAGUGCAAAUUUGUUUGUAUUACCUCUGAGAAUUUUACACUGCUACCUACAGGGAAUUUUUCAUUUUCUUCAUUUUGAUGUGCUUUACCAGUUGAAUAGUACAUUUUGACCAAGAGUCAUAAAGUAUAUUUGACUGCUGCCUCCUGACUGUACAGAUGCAAAGAACACCUUGAAAGGGGAAAAAAAAAAAGAUGCUACUGUCAGUUUAUAUUUAUGAAAAUAUUUUUACUCAUAUAAGAAAGGUGAUAGAAUGCCACAGUCCCAAAUACAAGGAUAUACAUAUAUCACAAUUGAAUUUUAAUCCCAUGAGAAACUUUUUAAAGUGAAACUGUACAUGUGGUACAACUGCAUUUUUUAUGUAUUUCUUUCCCUAUUUGAAAAGACAUAGGAGAACAUUUAAAAAUAAUUAAUCUAAGGUUUUAGGGUUUCAAUUUUCUAAACUUGACAGUGGGACUAAACAGAUUUCAAAGGACAUUUACCAAAAUUUCUAUAUGCAAGAAAUCACACCUGAUUAUCCAUACCCCAGUGUCUACAAUUAAGAGUGUUGGGGUUUUUUUCCCCCCAUGAUGACUGCUCUGAACUGCCUGUAAUUUCAGUAGCCCAGGACAGGCAAUCCUGUAGCUGGGAAUUUUUGGGGCUCACUCACUAACCCUUCCCACUAGUGAUUUCACUUUGGCCCACAGCAUUGUCCCUACUGUAUCCUGUCUGGAAUGAGCUCUGCUGUGGUGCUGUGCAGUUCACAAUGCCUGUAUUUGUUAUCUCUGAUAGCAGUGAGGGCUGGGGGGAAUAGAGAGGUCUACCAGCUGCUGCUGGGAAUGUGUGCAGCAUCCCUAAGGAAUACCCAUAAUGGGUGCUUUGUGGGACCAGUGACUACACUGACUUUGAAGAGGGAAGUUCUACCAGGGUAGGAAAUAACCAGUGACAAAGUUACCAAAAUCAACUGGUCUGUUAUAGUAUUACUCAUUUCUGCUAAGUCACCACACUCUGACUCUGUAGUCAUCUCUGUACCUUGUCAUUUCUUUCACAUAGAAAUUUUAGCUUCUGUGCUUUCUUGUGCAUAAAUACUCCUUCCAGAUUUCCUGUUUCCACAGAGCGUAGUUCAAUUGCUUUUUCUCCCCAGCCCAUGACCUGAUUGGACUGAAGAGUCUGUAAAUUUCCCCUAAAUCUGUUCAGAAGACUUUCAGUUUUUCUUUGUGCACACUGAAAGCUUCCCUGCUACUAGUGCUGAGAGCAAGAUAAUCCUCUCCCAGUAUUCCAGUCAUGAGGAAAGAGGAAGAAAUCAAACUGUUUCAAAAGCAAAGCAGCAGUGAGUAACCAUGGGGCACCAUUGCUGUAGUCUGUGGAGAAAGUGUCAUUAACAUUUGUGAACAGUGCAGCAGUAGCAGGAUGAGCCCAGGGCAGCACCCAUGCAAUCCACAGUAUCUGAAAAGUAAUCCCAGACCACACAUAAAGUGAAGAACAUCAAAAUGAUACAAGACUCAAACUUCUGCUAUUUUUUGUAGCAACUGACAUCGCAUUAACCUUUUCAAAAUUCACUUUUGAACACAAUAGAGACAGAGGCAGCCUGUGGUUCUGGGGGUGGGAAGCAAAGCAGGUGCAGUAUAUAAACAGCACGAAACUGUUCUGUGGCUGCACUGUUCAGUAUAGGUCAUGUAGGUCUAGCAACAAAGAACUAAUAAGUCUCCUGAUCUUUUCCACUACAUGAAAUUUACACUCCAGCUGCCACUCUGCUGUGUCAGUAUCUGUGCCUUUGGCAGAUUUCAAUUUGAUAGCUUCCUUGCAGCUCCCAGUAACCACUUCAUUAGUCUCUGCUGCUACCCCUAGGUCAUCUACUGGGCCACUUCUGCUGUGUUCUGAAGAGAUCUGACCUCCAGGCAGUAUUCAAAACGGGAACAAAAUAAACCAGAUACACCAAGAUCAGCCCUGAUGCUCUGCUGUCUGGCCAAUAUACCCAGAACCUGGCAACUGACAAUGGCAGCUUUAAGUACAAGUAGCAUAAAAUCUCAGCUUUGCAGCAGAAUCAAACAAUUCUUUUCCAUAUUUCUUCUGUGAAACAGCAUGCAAACAAAAUGGCCUCAUUACACCAUUUGCACAGUUGUCCAGUAAUAAGGAUUUAUCUAUACAUGGAGAUUAGUUUGAAGGAUAGCAGGCUAUCAAUGCAAAGGUCAGUACUGAGUCAUGAUAACCCUCCAAUGUGGGAGCUCUUAGAGGUGUUUCGUGUGAGAUGAACUGAGAGCAGAUACUCAAAGUUGCCUUAUUUUGGAACAAUAACUCCUAUACCACGAGCACCUCGGGAAUAGUUACUUUGAGUCCACUUUCCACUGCAGCUUUAGAUAAAAAUAUCCUUUGCUUCCAGCUGGUAUGUUGUAGAGCAUUGAGGCAGUAAUUUAAGCACCUUUUGGUAACACUGUUUCCCUACAGAAUGGUCUUCUUGCUUCUAAAAUGUACAGGGAAAAGGAAAUAAAGACUUUUACUAGUUCCUCUGGGAAUACCCAGAUUUGUGUCAACCCUUUAUGGCUACAUACUGUAAAUAAUUCAUUACUCACACAAAAGGGCACGAGUGCUCCCCCAUUUUAUUAACCUGAUGUUUCUUAAUGCCUUUUUGAAACCUGUUUUAUAGAAAAUAUUACAGCUAUAUUUAUAUUUAGCCCUACAUAUGUGUACAUCUUUCAGAUUAAACAUAGAAUACUUCCACAGUUUUUUAAUUUCCCAUGGGAUUUGAGCUUCCUCUCCCCGAUUUCUUAUUAACAGAUUGGUCACAGAGGUCCCAAUUUAAGACUAUGAGUAAGAUAUAUUUAGAUUCUCUGCCCUAAAUCCAUCGAUUAUCAUACAAACUUUUUAAUUUUUUGUAUCAAAAUACUCUCACCAACUACAAACUUUUAUUUCAAAAUACUUGUUCAAAGAAAUCAAGAAAUCAGCAAAGGAUUACUAGAGAGCAACAGGGUAACACAAGACCCUUCUGUCUCUGCAACAGAGAGUGAAAACUGAGAUAUGCUCAUACAGACUUCAUGAGGUUUGAAAUGGGUACAGAAAUCCCAGGAAAACUGGAUCUUUUAAGAAACUAUCAAGCUGCCCCUAAGCGGGGCCAUUCAAAUAACAGUUAUUCACACUUAUAAUGUUUUUUUCUGAAGCCAAGGAUAUCAAAGGAUUAAGAAAAUUAAUAGGAAUUAGGGGUAAAAUUAUUAAAAUAACAGUUAACAGAGGCCUUAUCUGAAGUUUGAGUUGUGUGUUUAUAGGUCAGGUUAAUUUUAGUGGAAGUGUCAUUUCAAUCAGAAGUUAGACUUGGUUUGUACCACAUCCCAAAGAUGGGCUUUCCCUAAAACGACUCAGGUAGAAGUGAAAGGAAAAAGGUGAACAUCCUUGAUUUUUCACAGUGGUAUGCAGUUUCCUCCAAGUUAAUAACAGGCUUCUGUGCAGUCUAAUUGUCUUGGGCUUGUUUUGUUGGUAUGUUUGUUUUAAAAUAAAGAACAGGAGUGAGACAGAAAUUAACAAGUAAUAAACCCAAAAAUCUGCCUGUGUUGUUCUUCAUUUCCCCAUACUGUUAGCCUGAAGCCCUAUGGGAAAGGUGAAACAAACAGCUGUCCUGGCUGCAGUACAACCAGAAUCUCCUCCUACACAGACAACUACAAGCAUGGGAGAUUAAGAAUCUAUCACAAAUACCCUGGGCUGGCAGCCCUGUGAAUUUAAAGUGCUAAAAUGAAGGGGCCAUUUGACAGCAGUUACAGAUCUCUUCAGUAACUGACCCCUCAGUAGCUGUGAAUUUCUACAUAAAACCCUGUCAGCUAUGAACAACCAAAACACUUCUUCCCCUCUGUAAUACACAUAAUUCUCCCUGUGGAAA